ensembl:snRNA U6 U6 spliceosomal RNA
GCACCCUCUUCAGCUGCAUAUAUACUAAAAUGGUUACCAUACAGAGAUGAUUAGCAUGGCUCUGUGCUCAAAGAUAUCCAGCAAGUUCAUGGAGCUUCUUGCACUAGUU